AUUGAACGCUGGCGGCAUGCCUUACACAUGCAAGUCGAACGGUAGGGGGGCAACCCCUGAGAGUGGCGAACGGGUGAGUAAUGCAUCGGAACGUGCCCAGUUGUGGGGGAUAACGUAGCGAAAGCUACGCUAAUACCGCAUACGACCUGAGGGUGACAGGGGGGGGUCGCAAGAGCUGGCGCAAUUGGAGCGGCCGAGGGGGGAUUGGCUAGGUGUGGGGGUAAAAGUCUACCAAGGAGACGAUCUGUAGCUGGUCUGAGAGGACGACCAGCCACACUGGGACUGAGACACGGCCCAGACUCCUACGGGAGGCAGCAGUGGGGAAUUUUGGACAAUGGGCGCAAGUCUGAUCCAGCCAUGCCGCGUGCAGGAAGAAGGCCUUCGGGUUGUAAACUGCUUUUGUCAGGAAAGAAGUCCCUUUGGAUAAUACCUCGGGUCGAUGACGGUACCUGAAGAAUAAGCACCGGCUAACUACGUGCCAGCCGCCGCCGUAAUAC
rnacentral:rRNA from 1 species